AGCUUUGCGCAGUGGCAGUAUUAUAGCCAAUGAGGUUUAUCCCAGAUGCGAUUAUUGCUACUUGAAAGAUGGCUGCCAAUCUUCUCUCUGCUUUAAAAUUUUUUUGUUUAUCUUUGGUUU
rnacentral:snRNA from 1 species